rnacentral:lncRNA from 1 species
AGGUUGCUGCUGGGGGAUGGGGGAGGGUUGGUGUCAGCAGUUCAAGACUGUCUUUCCUACCCUCUUCAGUGCCUUUUUCUGUAAUAUGAAGUUAGAACCAAGUACUGUUAUUACUUAACUGAUUUUUGGUUCUUAUGAAGGUGCUUUUUUGUGUGGAUAGUUGUUCAAUUUGGUGUUCCUGCAGGGAGGAUAAUCCUUGAAGGUUUCUAUUUAGCCAUCUUGCUCUGCCUCUUGCUCCUAUAACAUUUUUAGUAAAGAAAAUGAAUAUUUUAAUUAGAAGCAACUGAUUCUACUGCUAAAUUAACAUUGCUUGGGUCCACAUUUUGCACACUAAAACAUUCACAGAAAGAGUUCUUAUAUUUGUAACUGUACUUAAUAGGAUCUCUUUUUGACCAAAAAUGAACCACAAGGCACUUAUAAACCCUGUGAGCUUGGACAGGAAAUGGGAAUUUGAAUCAAUAACUCUGCUGGAGUCACACCAGCUAUUGGCAAGAGACAGAGUGUCACUCUACUGCCUAGGCUGGAGUGCAGUGGAAGCGAUCACAGCUAACUGCAGCCUUGAGUUCCUGGGCUCAAGAAAUUCUCCCAUCUUGGCAUCUCAGGCUUGGGAUUACAGGUUAGAGCUGAUAUAUGUGGGUUUAAUGAAGAGACAACUUAUGAACUUUGCCUGCAGUGGAUGCAAUUUGGGGCCUUCUAUCCCUUUUCCAGAAACAAUAAGGCCAUUGGAAAUAAGGUUUCCAUCAGAUCCUAAAACCCAUGAAAUCAACAGAGCAUUUCUUUGGGAACCAGCUUUGAUGACUGUCCAUGUCUUACAGAGAUAA